CAGUCGCCGCGGUAAUACGUAGGUGGCAAGCGUUGUCCGGAAUUAUUGGGCGUAAAGGGCUCGCAGGCGGUUUCUUAAGUCUGAUGUGAAAGCCCCCGGCUCAACCGGGGAGGGUCAUUGGAAACUGGGAAACUUGAGCGCAGAAGAGGAGAGUGGAAUUCCACGUGUAGCGGUGAAAUGCGUAGAGAUGUGGAGGAACACCAGUGGCGAAGGCGACUCUCUGGUCUGUAACUGACGCUGAGGAGCGAAAGCGUGGGGAGCGAACAGGAUUAGAUACCCCAGUAGUCCCUGUCUCUUAUAC
rnacentral:rRNA from 1 species